rnacentral:rRNA from 1 species
UUCCUGUACCGAUAUUUAAUUGCCGAAGGAAGGACGCAGAAGGAUAACACAGGCCACUAUUGGAUGUGGUUUUAAACAGUUAGUCUUCAUAAGAGUCAAAUGCUUUUAUGUUUAAGGAUAAGCUGUGAAUGUACCAAGUUUACUUGGAAAUUGUGUGAUUUCACGCUGCUGAAAAAAGUUUCGUAGGAAGAAAAUAUUGCCCGUACCGCAAACCGACACAGGUACUCAAGUGGAGAACACUAAGGUGAGCGAGUGAACUAUUGUUAAGGAACUCUGCAAAAUGAGUCCGUAACUUCGGAAGAAGGACUGCUGGUUUUAUAC